rfam:Bosea sp. Leaf344 contig_6, whole genome shotgun sequence.
GAGCCUGGAGGUCAACGCCCGACAGCGCGUCCGCGCCCUCGGGCGCGAAACCG